GGGCUAAGAAGGCAGGCAAUCCGUUUGGGCCUUGGGCCCAAACCGAAUCCAAACCUACACCAACAAGAACAACGCCCAAGCCAAAAUUGAGAAGAAAUGAAAUCGCUCAUGUGAAGCACGUUCACCCUUGAAAAUACCUUCGAACAAAAACUGGAUCGCGUUCUUCAAUCAAAUCAGCUCGCGUCUCCACAUCCACCUCACCGCGAUUUUGGAAUCAAAAACAUGAUGACGCCUCUUAGCUUUUCCUGUUUUAUCACGAAAGCUCGCGUCUCAUCGGUAUCGCGCUCGGCGUAGCAUCACAUUCUAGAUUCUCCUUCGAUUCAAGGCAUCAACAUCGUCGCGUUUCAGAAUUUCAUGGAUUGGCAUCCGAGUUCAAGGCGUUCAUCCGUCAUCUCAGGACUUAUAUGGAUUUGCGUUUGGGAUUCUUGACGUCACGUUCGCGUAUCAACUCAAAUGACUCAAACACAAACAAUUGCGAACUGCUGCGAGAGAGAGGACUUACCGGUGGCAGAAACAGGUUCUGACGCUUAGUAGUUCACUCGAGAUUUAGCCGGAGAGCUUCCGUGUUUUGUUUGGAGACUAGGUAGUGAGUCAAUGCUCUGGUCAUGUAACACUGGGUAGAUUAGUAAUACUGAACUCAUGUCUUGUUUGGAUAUGUAUUAUGUUAUUACUUGUGAACAUGUUUAUUUGCAAUUUGCUGUUUGAGAGGCCAUAGUGCCAAAUAUUCUGGAUAUGAUUUUAUUUUAUCUUGAGGAGAUUAUUGAGAGAUGAUCAUGGUAUGGGACAUGAAUCAUUUUAUGAAAUACCUGAGUAUUCAUUAUUUUCCGCUGCGAACACAUAUUCUUGAUGAUUCAUGAUAUUUGAAAUGUGUUAUUUUAAAUUACCAGGUGUAUUGUAUAUUGAUGAUGAAUGAUGUUGGUUUUUAAAAGCUUUUAGUUUUUGAAAACGUCGAUGUGACGCCCUUUUGUUUAUAUGCGUGCUUAUUCACUCUGAUUAUAUGUUAAGUAUUUUGGGGUAUAAAAAGGGGUGUUACAUUAGUGGUAUCAGAGCAUGGUCGAUCAGUUGGUCAAUAGUCGUUAAUGUUUUCUAAUCCUGUUGUAUUUGAUUGGUGUAUUUGACACGAUCGAUACUGUGUGUCUGAAUUGUCCGUUGAGUAUCUUUGGUAGGGAUUUUGGAAUUGAUUUAGUUUGUAUUCCUUUAGAGCAGUUUGAUGUGAUUUUGGGCAUGAAUUGGUUAGAAUUUAAUCGGGUGUAUAUCAACUGUUUUGAGAAGACGGUUAUUUUUCCUGAGGUUGGUGCUAAGGAAGAUUGAUUUGUGUCUGCUAAGCAAGUUGAUGAAUCGGUGCAAGAUGUAACACCCCAAUUAAAAUAAGAUAAUUAUUUAAUUUAAAUUAAUAUUUUAUUUAUUAAUUUAAUUGAAUAAUUGGAAGUUUGGAUUAUUAUCAUUAUUUUGGAAUAAUAAUUAUUGGGUUAUUAUUUUGUUGGAAUAAAAUAAGUUGGAAUAAUAAAAAGUCCUAAUUUUUGGAAAAGGGUUUUCACGUGAAAAAGGAAAAGAGAAGCGGCUGAAAGAGAAAAGGCAAAGAGGCAGAGCAAGAGAAGAGGAAAAGCUUGAAGCUAACGGAAUUUGCCGGAUUGACUCAGGUAACGAGCAGUGAGUUGAGUAGAAGCUAGUGCUAUGGAGUCUAGUGUCGUCCUUAGUGGGUCAUGCUCUGGUAGAUGUAACAUCGGGAGGGAAUGUUUGACUAUGUUUUAAUUUAGUUGUUGAUUCAACUUUACAUGUAAUGUAGUACAUGAUUUGAAUGUCGAUGUUUUGUACCCGCUGCGAGUUAUGCAAAAGAGUCUUAUUUUGAUUUA